AAAGUCGUAACAAGGUCUCCGUAGGUGAACCUGCGGAGGGAUCAUUAAUAAGAUUUGGACCCAUUUCGGGUCUGUAAUCCUCAAACCUGUGGAAGCGAGAAGUGCUUCGGCGCCUCUGGGCGUCGAAUCUAUGCCGUUUAGCUUGUGUCUGAUCGAAAAUAAAAUUUUAAAACUUUCAACAAAGGAUCUCUUGGCUCUC
rnacentral:misc_RNA from 1 species